AAAACUUAAUAAUUUGACGGUACUUAAUAACAUAAAGGAGUUUGUAAUUUAAUCGUCAAUACACGCUUUAUCUUACUUUAAAGAAUUUGUAUACCUCCGUUUUAGAUCCUAUUCAAAAUAAUCUAAAAUUUCAUUAAAAUCUUCAUUUUUAAAUCAGGUCAAGGUGCAGUUUUUAAAGAUAUUAUGAACUACAAUCAAAAACUAAAGAUAUGAAUUUUUUGCUGAAUAAAAAAAAUGAAAACGAAUUUAUAAAUAAAAUAAAAUUAACAUAUUUAUUUGAAAACCUUUAAGUAUGUACACAUCG
rnacentral:rRNA from 1 species